CUUCCAGUAGCACCUUAGAGACCAACUAAGUUUGUUAUUGGUAUGAGCUUUCAUGUGCAUGCACACUUCUUCAGAUACCAAGUGUGCAUGCGCACGAAAGCUCAUACCAAUAACAAACUUAGUUGGUCUCUAAGGUGCUACUGGAAG